rnacentral:lncRNA from 1 species
CCCCCCAACAAACACAGAAGACCCAAGUCUGGCGCCAUCUGCAAAAGGACAGGCCAGAGUUCCCUUUGAAGCAACCUAGCAGCUGAGAGGAAGAAAUCUUCGAAAGGACCAUCAGGGGACCAAAGCGAUAGGCAGGUACAUACCUUAGGAACAAGGCAUCCCAAACUGCAACCCAGAGAAACUCACAGGCUCUAGUGAGAAAGAAUCGUCUUCUGUUUUUGUCAUUCCUUCUCAGCCUUGUCUCUUCAGAAAACACCCAUCACCCUUUCCUUGGAGCCUAAACUGUGAUCAGCGUUGGCCUUAGGAGGUCUGGGAAAACGUCAAGGGUACCUACGUGGACUUCCUUAAGUUUGCUCUCCCACCCUUCUACUCUGUAAGUGCAUUUGAUUAAAGCGGCCUCCAUCCCCAGGGUUAAAAUCCAGACGGCACAUUGGGACUGGGAACUUACGAGAUCACCAACACUUUCGAGUCAAUCAGCGCCCCCAGACAGGUAAGAUGAAACUGCGCAGGGCCCGCGGGCGUGCUCUCCGGGGCUGACAAUAAGCAGCACCAACCUGCGAGGCUGUUUCCUGAGGUGGAAUAAACCCUGCAGGUGUGUGUGUAGACCGCAGUUUUCCUGCGAGCUCUGGCUGGAGAGGAGGCUGGGCCACGGGCCCCUCACACCCGCUGUUUGGGAAGCAGCCCCGCCGCGGGCGCCCCGGGCGCACGUGCUGGGAGCCCGCCUCGGGGACUCCGCUCCUCGGGCCGACGGAGCAGCUCCAGUUCACACUCCCUCGCGCCUUCCGAACUCCAGGAGCGAGGGCACGUCUGGAGGCGAGGGGUGGGGACCGCCUCCCCGAAACACACACCCUUAUAGCCUGGGCCUGGGGCACGCCCUCCCUAGGGUGCGCGCCGAGGGAGCCCAACCGACGCCCGGCGGCCAAGGAUCAGGCUCCAGGAAGGAGCGCGGCGCGCGGCAGCCGAACGCAGCGGGGAACGAGCCAAGCGGGCGUGCAGGGCGCCGCGGAGGGGCUCCCCAAGCCGGAGACGGGGACGCUGGGAAGACCCCCUCCCCCGGCCCCGGGAGGCGCAGGGAGAGCCCCGACGUGUCGGUGCCGCCGCAGGGCGCGCGGGGCCAGUGCCCUCUGCGGGGAGAGACCCCCAAGGCCCCUCGCCCGCCAUCGUCCGAGGGGCGCCCUCCCCGCGCCCAGGCUACGGCCGCGGCCCCGCAAGAGCCCGCCUCGCCCUGCGCCCUUCCCGCCCGGCUGCCCCGCGAGGCUCUCCGCCAGCGGCGGCCGCCUGGAGCGGGGCGGAGGGACGGGCUCUCCCGCUCGCCAGCACCUCGCCACCUGCCCCUCGCGCCCCGGGGGGCGACGGCGCACUCACCCUCCGCAUGGUGCCGGGCCGUCCGGGCCGGGGGAGCGGGCACGGGCGUUAGGCGGCCAGGGCAGGCACCGGGGAUGCUCCGCGCUGCCCCGCCCGCACACGCGUGCGCCGCGGCCGGCGAAGCGGCGGGCGGGCGGGCGGUGGCCUCCGCGAGGCGAGGCGGGGCGGGGCAGGCGGGCGGGGGCGCGCCGGCCGCAGGGUUCUCGGGCCCGCCCCCAGCGUGCACAGCUCCAGGACCUCCGGGCCCUGGGGCCCUUCUUCCCGCGUCGCGGCGUCGCCACCUUCCUGGGCCGCUUCGCCCCUCUCCUCCUCCUUUCGAGUUUCUGCCCGACCCGGCAAGGAGCGGGUCCCCGGUGUCUGCCGCCGGCCCCCACCCCGGCUCUGAGCUGGAGAAGGUUGGAGUUGAACGCUGGGGCCGACCGCGCGGCGAAGUUAGAAGAGCAAGAGGGGAUUGGUGGAGAACUAAGGAAUUGUGUUUGCGGGCACACGCUGAGAGAAGGAGGCCUUUAAAUUGA